rnacentral:rRNA from 1 species
GACGAACGCUGGCGGCGUGCCUAAUACAUGCAAGUAGAACGCUGAAGGAGGAGCUUGCUUCUCCGGAUGAGUUGCGAACGGGUGAGUAACGCGUAGGUAACCUGCCUGGUAGCGGGGGAUAACUAUUGGGAACGAUAGCUAAUACCGCAUAAGAGUAGAUGUCGCAUGACAUUUGCUCAAAAGGUGCAACUGCACCACUACCAGAUGGACCUGCGUUGUAUUAGCUAGUUGGUGAGGUAACGGCUCACCAAGGCAACGAUACAUAGCCGACCUGAGAGGGUGAUCGGCCACACUGGGACUGAGACACGGCCCAGACUCCUACGGGAGGCAGCAGUAGGGAAUCUUCGGCAAUGGACGGAAGUCUGACCGAGCAACGCCGCGUGAGUGAAGAAGGUUUUCGGAUCGUAAAGCUCUGUUGUAAGAGAAGAACGAGUGUGAGAGUGGAAAGUUCACACUGUGACGGUAUCUUACCAGAAAGGGACGGCUAACUACGUG